CCUCUCUCAGCACACCUGCUGUGGCCCAUGGGGCUCUGUUCUGAGCUCCUGGUCAUCUUCCUGACCGGGACAAGCCCAAAUAUCUGUGGUGGGGGGCUCCUCCGGAGCUCAGCCAUGGGAGAAGGCGGUAGACCCAGAUCAGCGUGGAGGACACCAGGUGAGCCUGGCUGAGCCUUCACCCUCUCAGAUCCCAAAAGUGCCCAGGUCUCAAAUCCAGGGUAAGGUCCCAGGGAGUCAGGGAACUGAUAGGGGAAAGCACUCAGCCUUGCAGGGCUUCGUCGCCUGGAUGUGGAUGAGACCAGCACACCACGUGGGGCAGCGAAGGCGCCAGGCCUGCUCUCCAACAGCAUCCUUUGAAUCAAGGGUCCUCACAUUCUCUCUUGCUUCCCAACCCCCAGUAUGCCCUCCUGUUUUCCAUCUUAUUAUCUGCUCCCUCUUAUCCCAGGGUUUUUCAGCCUCAGCACCACUGACAUUUGGGACGGAUCAUUCUCCCUGCUGUGGCCACCCCAUGCACUGCAGGCAGCUGAGCAGCAUCCUCGGCCUCCACCCGUGAGAGACCUGCACCACCCACCUCCGACGCCACCACCCAAAGCCUCUGCAGACACUUCCCGGUGUCCCCGGAUGGCAAAACUGGCCUGUGGAGGACCAGCGACCUGCCCCAGUGUUUACUGUGUGUGCAAAUACUCUCUGAGCCCCUGUAUGUGCCCGAGCUUGCCUGAGGUCUAGUGUGGCUGUGGCCAGUGGUGACACUAGAAAAAAACAGCAAACACGGGGCCUCGGCAUGCACCAAACUGGGCCAGAACCCACCGCAGCCAUGAGCUCUGGAACCCGCACUGCAAACAUGAGACCUCACCGUGCACCAACCUGGGCUGGAACCCACUGCAGCCGUGAACUCUGGAACCCACACAGCAAACAUGAGGCCUCACCAUGCACCAACCUGGGCUGGAACCCACUGCAGACGUGAACUCUGGAACCCACACAGCAAACAUUGGAGGGAAACACUGUCACUUCUACUUUACAGGCAUAAACACUGAAGUGCAGAGCAUUUGGGUGCAUCAGAAUUUUAACUCUUCAGCCCUGCAGGCCUCGCUUUCAGACAUUCUGCUUCAGUAGGGCUGGAAGGGGUCCUGGGGAGCCCCACUGCAGGGAACCAGAAACCAACUGGAAGAGCCGGUGUCCAGCAGGCCCCAGAGCUCCUCAGAGCCUCAGAUGGGGUUGGAGGGCCUUCCCCUGCUCCAUCCUUCCCCCAAAUACUGGUUGUUCCUUUCAUUCAAUAGAUGCUCAAAUCUUACACAAUUUAAACAGACAUUCCUAAGAGCACUGUAUUUGCAUGUAAUUUGACUGUUUUCUUGUAGUAGUUGUAAAAGGGGAAGGAAAAUCUAUUCCAGUUAAUUGUAGGUUCUGUGGAACUGGAGUUAGAUCACAUCACUAUUGAAACCAGCUUAUUAUUGAUCGGAAAUGUGACAGGCCUGGGUCCACGGGCACACGUGUUGCCAGAAGCCUUUGUCACUCCAUGGCUGACAUCUCUGCAUUGUUUUUCAGCUGGUAAUUCCUUAAAAGACUGAGACAAUAGUCAUUUAAUAUCGUUUGCUCAAAUGAACAGUUCCCCGAGCAAAUAACAAUAAUAAAAAAAAGUCCCUGAGAAGCCAAUUAGACUCUGCAGCUUGUACCAAGCAAUGGCCUUUCUAAU
rnacentral:lncRNA from 1 species